rnacentral:rRNA from 1 species
AUUGAACGCUGGCGGCAGGCCUAACACAUGCAAGUCGAGCGAGCGGCGGACGGGUGAGUAAUGCCUGGGAAUUGCCCAGUCGAGGGGGAUAACAGUUGGAAACGACUGCUAAUACCGCAUACGAUUGGAUUGCCCAGGUGGGGUUAGCUAGUUGGUGAGGUAAUGGCUCACCAAGGCGACGAGCCCUAGCUGGUCUGAGAGGAGGGUCAGCCACCCUGGAACUGAGACACGGUCCAGACUCCUAAGGGAGGCAGCAGUGGGGAAUAUUGGACAAUGGGGGAAACCCUGAUGCAGCCAUGCCGCGUGUGUGAAGAAGGCCUUCGGGUUGUAAAGCACUUUCAGCGAGGAGGCGUUACUCGCAGAAGAAGCACCGGCUAACUCCGUGCCAGCAGCCGCGGUAAUUC